AUGUGCUCGAUCACACGUGGGCAAGAGGUACUUGGGCGGGAAACAUGUCAGGGCAUAUGCUUGCCCUCAUUGGAGGUUUAACACUAUCUUCAACAAAAGUCUGGAGUGUUAGGCAGAGACUCCAAAACAGCGAUGCUGGAGACAAGGCCCUAAGAGAAGGCCUUUGGCUGGGUAAACAGAAGCCUAAAGGCAGCUUUCUGUUUCCUGGGAAAGCAGAUCCCCUAAGUUGGUGAUGGUGUCUACAUGCUGAAUUUCAUGGCCUGAUGGGUGCUUCCUCGAUGGAUCAAUCGUGCAGAUUUCUGGGGGCCUCCUGUG